GUAUUUUAAUUAUUUUGUUUAUUCGUGUCCUAAACUUUAUUAUCUGGAGGAAAAUGCAGCAGAAAGGGACAGCUGUAGACAACCCAAAUGACAAAGACUAUUACAACGAAUUCCCAUCUGUUGAUAUACGAGCAAAACAAAGUGGGCAAGAUAUGAAUAUUUCGCCUUAUGCAGAACUAAGUCAACUUGACCACCCAAACACGUAUGAAGAAAUCCAUAAAUAUGCAAAAGCAGAC